AAAUAUUUUGCACAAUUUUAAAGAAAUAAAAAACAAUUUAAAAACACUGCAAAAACAGGGGGACCAAUUGCGAAAAUGCCCCAUUUUCAAGAAUACCCUAUAAAAAUCAAUUUUAAAACCCUAAAAAUCACUUCUUCAGCCACCCCACAAAUGCGCCGCAGCUCUCCUCCCUCACUGCCUCUCCGCAUCCCUUUCAUUCCGACGACGGAACAAAGAGGUUCUCCGACGCCGCUCGCGACGGUGUGGGCGUUGGAGAACGUGGGUUGUGCGAGGGGAACGUGUUGUGACGGAGACGAUAACCGCUGGAGGAAGAACGGUUGCUGUGGCGCGAUCUGCAGUUUCUGCCUCCAUUGUUGCUGAAGACCUGUUGUAGGCUGGGGUUUGCACACUUGGGCCUUACUGGGCCAAAUGUAAUUGGGUUAGGACUGGCCUAAGUUUUAUUGGGUUUGAUUAGUUAAUUUAGGCACCGGGCAACAAUUGGGUAUUAAAACUAGGUCUGUAAUUUAUUGCAUUUUUAUUUUAAGGUUUAUGUAUUUGGGCCCGGGCUAAAAUGGCCUAUUACAGCUGACAUUUUGACAAAGCCUCUUGGCACAAUUUGGUUUGAAUUUCUAAGGGAUUCAAUCGGUGUUUGUUGCCUACAGUCCAAAGAGGAGUGUUAAGCAUGGACUGCAAUGCAACAGGUAACCAUAAAGCUCACCAGCAGCAGUAGACCAGCUUUAGAAUCGAACAGGAGCUGCUUGUUUCAUUUUGUUUAUUUUGAUUUUUUUUGUAAAGCAAUCAAGUUGACAUGUAACUUGAUUUCUAGAGUUAGUAAGAUAUGAAAAUGAUGGCUGUAAUAGCUGAUUUAUUUUCAGCUUUUGACUUGUAUUAUUUUAGUUGGCAACUUGCCAAAUUUGGUGGGAGUAGUUACAUGUUUAGGUAAUUGACUUGUUGCUUUUGUAACUCUUUUAUAUUUUGAAAUGAAAAUGAAAGCAGUAGGACUUUCUCAUUCGGUUA